AGGGUCAGUCUCUCUUCUCACCCUAGGAUGGAGGUUUCUGAACAAAAAAAUCUCAUUCACCUGGAAGACAUGAAAUUGUUCUGGUUUCUGUUCUGCUUGGUGGCAGGUGUCCUGUCUGACCUGCAACUGGAGGAGUCAGGGCCAGGACUUGCAAAGCCCUCAGAGUCCCUUACACUCACCUGUUCUGUCACUGGUGGCUCUGUUACUAGCAGUUACUACUGGAGCUGGAUCCGACAGUCUCCAGGGAAAGGGCUAGUGUGGAUUGGAUAUUGGAGUGGGAGUACAUACUACAACCCUGUUUUCCAAAACAGAGUCUCUAUCACAGCAGACACAUCUAAGAAUCAGUUCUCUCUGCAGCUAAAAUCACUCACAGCUGAGGACACAGCGGUAUAUUACUGUGCAAGAAGCACAAUGAGAAGAAAGGAGUAUGAGUUCAUACAUAAACUUUCUCCUACAAGGAAGCUAGAAGGUCAGGAUGCAUAUGGUGUUCAACUACUGAGCACAAGAGUCCAGUCCCAGGAGAGUAAAGAUGAACUAUUCUUUUCAGGGUUUAUGGCUUUCCCUCUCCACUCAGCAAACUUCCCUAGGGGCCUUCCCAUCCUUUUCAUCCUUGAGAUGGCCUUUUUUCUAAGAAUUUCAGAUAAUGACAGAUGAGAAAGUUUGUAAUUGCUUAUUGAAAUUCAACUGGGAAGUUGAAUCUCUACAGAAUAUUUUUUUUAAUAAAAUGUUUGACAGAUUCCCAUGUUUUGAGAUCACAGGCCACUGUUAGCUGUACUUUGUUCUAUUGAGCUACAUUUUUAUUUCUUAGACAAUAAGAGAUAGUUUUGAUAAUUAUUGUAUUAUAAUAUACUUUAACAUGUAGUAAUAUUAAGCCUCCUUCCUUUACAUUUUUUUCAUUAGUUCAUUUAUACUCUUAAUUUCUUAUUCUUCCAAAAGAACUUUAUUAUUGUUUUUCUAAGUCAGUAAAAUAAGUUUUUGGUCAAAAAUGGGAUGUCAUUGAAUACACAAAUUAGGUUAGGCAAAAUUGUCAAUAUUUUGCCCUGCCUACUCAUGGACAAUUAACAUUUCUCCAAUUACUUGUAUCUGAUUUUAUUUGUAUAAUUUUUUAAAAAUAAUUUUUAGGUCUUAUUUUGUUUUGCCAAAUGUACUCCCCAGCAUUUUAUGCUGUCAACAGGUAUUUCAAAUGGGGUAUCUCUUACUAUCCUUGUUUGUAGAGCUAUAUUUCCGAUAUAUAGGAAUGGUGAUAAUUUGAGUGGAUUUACUUUGUAUCCUGCUACCUUGCUAAAAUUAUUAGUUUUUUCAAUUAACUUUUUAAUCUUUCAGAUUUUCCAAGUGUAUCAUCAUAUCACCUGCAAAAAGAGAUAAUUUUAUUACACCAUUCCCUUUCUGAUGCCUUUUAUUUCUCUUAUUUCUACUGCUAGGAUUUUUAAUACAAUGUUGAUUAAUAUUGGUGACACUGAGCAUCCUUGUUUCAAACCUGAUCUUACGUGGAAGGUUUCUAUCUUAGCUGCAUUACAAAUAAUGUUUGUUCAUGGCUUCAGAUGAAUGCUUUUUUUUUCUCAAUGUAAGGAAAAUUCCACUUGUACUUUUAAGUGCUACUAAUAGAAAUGAGUGUUACACUUUAACAAAAGGGUUUUUUUCUGCAUCUACUGAUCAUGUAAUUUUAAAAACUUUUAUUAUUGAUAUAAUAAAUUAUGUUAAUAACUUUC